rnacentral:tRNA from 1 species
GUAUGAUCCUGCCUGGUGGCGGGUGCAGGCUUCAAACCUGU